rnacentral:RNase_P_RNA from 7 species
AAGGAUGAUCGGGUGAUUACCUGGGCAAAGGCUCGGGAGGAAAGUCCGAACACCUCGUAUGCAGCAAUGCAUGCGGACAAGAAAAGUUGUUAACGACAACCAAGGAUACGCAUUCGAGCGCGAGGAGUUGGAGCAAUUCACUCUUUGAUCCCGAAUACAAACCUUAGGGAAAGUACCACAGAGACUAUACUAGCUCCGGCGCAAGCCUGGGUGAAAGGUGAAAAGUGAUGUGAUGUCGCAAGACUACGCAUCUCGCUGCAUGGUGACAUGCAUGUGUGGCAAACCCUUUUCGGUGAAAGAGCAAAUUUGGUAGCUCGCACGAGUGUUACAGCAAUGUAACAUCAAGAUAGAUGAUCGCCUCAUCGAUCGUAAGAUCGGUUAGACAAAAUUCGGCUUACAGAUCACUCCUUUGGA